rnacentral:rRNA from 1 species
GAUGAACGCUGGCGGCGUGCCUAAUACAUGCAAGUCGAGCGAACAGAUAAAGAGCGUUCGGCGUUGACGUUGGCGGCGGACGGGUGAGUCACACGUGGGUAACCCACCUAUAAGGCUGGGAUAAGUGCGGCAAACCCUAGUUCAGACCGGAUAAGAUCUCGACCCGCAUGGUUCUGGAGUGAAAGAUGGGUUUGCGAUGAAUUAUAGAUGGACCCGCGCCGUAUUAGGUAGUUGGUAAGGUAACGGCUUACCAAGGCAGCGAUCCGUAGCCGACCUGAGAGGGUGGUAGCCCACCCGGGAACUGGGACACGGACCAGACUCCUGCGGGAGGCAGCAGUAGCGUAUCUUCCGCAAUGGGCGAAAGCCUUACGGAGCAGCGCCGCGCGAGUGAUGACGGGUUUCGGCGCGUAAAACUCGGUUAUUAGGGAAGAACAAAUGUGUAAGUAACUGUGCCCGUCUUGACGGUACCUAAUCAGAAAGCCACGGCUAACUACGUG